GGGGAAUAUUGCACAAUGGGCGGAAGCCUGAUGCAGCAACGCCGCGUGCGGGAUGACGGCCUUCGGGUUGUAAACCGCUUUCGCCUGUGACGAAGCGUGAGUGACGGUAAUGGGUAAAGAAGCACCGGCUAACUACGUGCCAGCAGCCGCGGUGAUACGUAGGGUGCGAGCGUUGUCCGGAUUUAUUGGGCGUAAAGGGCUCGUAGGUGGUUGAUCGCGUCGGAAGUGUAAUCUUGGGGCUUAACCCUGAGCGUGCUUUCGAUACGGGUUGACUUGAGGAAGGUAGGGGAGAAUGGAAUUCCUGGUGGAGCGGUGGAAUGCGCAGAUAUCAGGAGGAACACCAGUGGCGAAGGCGGUUCUCUGGGCCUUUCCUGACGCUGGGGAGCGAAAGCGUGGGGAGCGAACAGGCUUAGAUACCCUGGUAGUCCACGCUGUAAACGGUGGGUACUAGGUGUGGGGUCCAUUCCACGGGUUCCGUGCCGUAGCUAACGCUUUAAGUACCCCGCCUGGGGAGUACGGCCGCAAGGCUA
rnacentral:rRNA from 1 species